CUCAUUUUAUUUCAAUUUUAUUCCAGUGGAAGGAGAGAAAUAAUUUUUAUGGAUCUCUGACAAAUCUAGUCUCAGCUUCCUAGUCAUUUUAGGCAUAUAGGGCAUUUAUUUACUUCAUGGAAUUAAUCAUAAUCCUUACAAGUAAUUGAUUACUCCUAUUAAUAAGUAGGCACAAUGACAAAAGUAGGAAAAGAGCAGACUUCUCUACCUGUGCUGUUUUUUGGCAUGUAGCUAAUGAGAAUGAGGCAUUUUGUUCUUGCUGGAGUUAUAUGCUGAUUUCAUUCCUAUGACAUGUAGUCAUUUCCACUGAAGCUUCUAAUUAGGUGCAAUGUGAAUAUCUGCUCUGUGAUGAAUAAAGUAUGUAGGAAAUUCAAUAAUAGCUUAUCACCAUCAUAUUAGGAAAUGUAACCCUGAUUUGGAAAUGGUUGUGAAUCAGCGGUGGGGGACUAUGGGAGGUUAAUCAAAAAUUUUGUGGGUCAAGUGGAUUUAAAAUGCUUAGACUUGUGUGUAUUGGCUAUAAUCUUUCGG